rnacentral:lncRNA from 1 species
GUAUGUCUCUUCUUAUUUAAUACUGCCUCUCUGCUAUGUGUUUAUGCUUAAGUUAUUUCUUUAUUUAUUCUAUUGCUUUCUGCAAGUCUGUUCAUUCCUGCUCUUAUAUGAAUCCCCAUCCCUAAACCCUUUGUAUAAUGAGUUAUGGUUCUAACAAACAUGAAAACACUUGAUAUUGUUGUUCAUGUCUAUGGACUGGACUCCCAGAGUCCUAAACUCUUUCAAUUCCCAUUCCCCUUUCCCUUUAUGUGUAUUCUGAGCCUGAGACUUUGGUCUGGUAGUGUCCUAAUCAUUGUCCAGAUCAUAGUUUGACCUUCAACAUGUAUGUGCUCCUCUUUAUUGGCUGAAUAGGCGUGGUCAGGGGUAUGCCAGUCUACCUUAUGACUAGGUAUGACCACCAUCCUACCUUGGCAUUCCCUAACCCCUCCAUUGCACUUGCACUCAUUCUUAGAACAUUAAGUUCUGCCCCUCUUGUGAGCCUUGCU